GGAUGCGUAGCUCAGUUGGUUAGAGCGCGCCGUUCACAUCGGCGAGGUCCCCGGUUCGAAUCCAGGCGCAUCCA
rnacentral:tRNA from 1 species